rnacentral:rRNA from 1 species
ACUCCUACGGGAGGCAGCAGUGGGGAAUAUUGCACAAUGGAGGAAACUCUGAUGCAGCAACGCCGCGUGGAGGAUGACACUUUCGGAGCGUAAACUCCUUUAUAUAGGAAGAUAAUGACGGUACUAUAUGAAUAAGCACCGGCUAACUCCGUGCCAGCAGCCGCGGUAAUACGGAGGUGCAAGCGUUACUCGGAAUCACUGGGCGUAAAGAGCGUGUAGGCGGGUUAUUAAGUCAGAAGUGAAAUCCUAUGGCUCAACCAUAGAACUGCUUUUGAAACUGGUAACCUAGAGUAUGGGAGAGGUAGAUGGAAUUUCUGGUGUAGGGUAAAUCCGUAGAGAUCAGAGGAAUACCGAUUGCGAAGCGAUCACUGGAACAUUACUGACGCUGAGACGCGAAAGCGUGGGGAGCAAACAGGAUUAGAUACCCUGGUAGCGACUGA